rnacentral:piRNA from 1 species
AGGAAUGCAAAACAGAGCGGAACU